rnacentral:lncRNA from 1 species
UUUUUUUUUUUUUUUUUAAUGGCCACACCAGUGGCAUAUGGAAGUUCCAGGCCAGGGACUGAAUCUGAGUCACAGCUAUGGCCUAGGCCGAACCUUUAACCCACAGAGUAGGGUUGGGGAUUGAACCCGAGCCUCUGCAGACCCAAGCCACUGCAGCUGGAUUCUUAACCCACUUUGUCACAGUGGGAACUCCAAAUGCAUGUUACUUUUAAAGCUCAAAAAAGCAACUGCAAUAAAACAAGGUAGCUAAUAAGCACAGUUAGCAAUGGUAGUAAUUGUAGUUAGUAUGAGUUAGCAUAGUUAGUAUUGUUAGCAUAGUUAUUUAGCACUGUUAGUAUCAUUAGUAUUAGCACUGCUGUUUGGUGCUGUCUGUAAGUGUAGUUAGCAGUGUUAGUUAAUAUCAUCAGGCAGCACAGUAGGGGUGCAGGGCGGUUUUAUAUCACCAAACAUCAUAAAAUUCUCCCAAGCAACUGGCUGGAAGAGACCCGAUGGACCAUGGACAGGACCACGGCCACAGACAGAGGCCUGGGGCACAUCUGCUGCUAGUCUUAGCCCUGCAGCUUCGCCACCAGGAGGGGACUGAAUCGGAGAUUCAGAGCCAGGAAACCUUCUGAGGACAAAAUGAGUGUGAAACUGCAGGCUUGGGCCUCGGCACAGGGCUCAUGGGCAGAGAAGCCUCUGAUCCCCAUGCAGCUCUCGGCCAGAGGAGGACCAGGAGUCAGGGAAGAAGGCCAAAGACCUGCCAGGCUCCCACCCAGCCCAGAGGCGAGGACCACUGCCUCCAGCCCCCUGGGGCCUCCCCUCCAACCACAGCACCAGCAGCAACAAGGGAGCCUCACAAAAACCAGAGGGUCGACCUGCUGGUAGGAUCCCAGCCUGGUCCUCAGGGGGUGUGGGAAAUCCCCCAACUUUAUCUGAAAGCAUCUGUGCUUCAGGCUGCUCAGCAAGAAGUGUCACAAUCAAGUGAGCCCCGUGUGGUCCUUGUUGAAUGGCAAGGAAGGCCAGGCCACACUCCCUGCAUUGAGUGCAAAGCAGGAGGAUGCUGAGCCCGGAGUCUGGCCGCAGUGCAGGAGGUGGGCCAGGGCUGGACACCACGGCUGUGGGCAGGAGCAGUGCAGGAAGGUCACGCCGUGUAUGCAGGGAAGCCUGGGCAAGGGGACUUGGCCCAGUGGACGAGGGGGGUGUUCUCUGCACGGAAUUCAAAGCAGGAGGAUGUCUGGCACCUGCCAGGCCUUCAGACGCAUCAUAUCCAGCAGCCUGGUGAGCAGGGGACAAGAGGAGAGGCCGCCCUGGCUGCAGGUCCGGCUCUUGGGCCCCACCUGGUGCAACUUCAGAGACUGGACGUCUUUCCCGGGGCACCUCCCCCAACUGCUCUUCUUCUAUGUGGGGGAGGGGAAGGGUUUUUUUGGUCUUUUUGCCAUAUUUCUUGGGCCACUCCUUUGGCAUAUGGAGGUUAAUGUGAAAAUGAAAUACCACAAAAAGACUGUAGCCACAUCACAGUACUUUCUACCUGGGCUCUCAAAUAACAACAUAUCCGAAAAAUGUAAAGUCCACCAUACCUGAAACCACGUGGGCAGCACUGCUCCCCACGCCAGCUCCCUCACUGUGCUCAGUCCCACCUCUCACCUCAAUUCCAAAGCCAACCACCAUCACAAAUGAAUCAUGUUGAGAUGGGGACAGCCUGCAUCCAGGGUCUGCCACACUGACAGAUUUUCAAGGUCAGAGGCCCACUCUCUCCUCCCGAUGCAUCUCUCUCAGCCAAAAGCUCAAGAAGGGAAAAACUCUGCCCUACUGCAAAAUGCACAUUCAAAAUACAUAAAUACAAACCAGGCCAACGUAUAUUAAUGAACAUUCUAAAUUUUAAUUAGUUUUUUUUAAGGAAGGGUACAGAACUAUGCCCCUAUUGUGAUUAUUAGGUUGAAUCCUAAGAAAUGUCACUUUUGUAGGUCAACACCAAGCAAGUAGAGUGUCCACUGUUAUCUCUAGGUAGGAGGGAUGGGGGGAGAGGGACAAGAGACUUGUUUUCAAGGUUUCCUCCUGGAUUGAUUAAGCCUUUUGUUAAAGUGAACACCUGUCCAGAAGCCUACUAUUAGGCUUUCUUCACACGCCAGCAUCCCUUUUGUCCCUAGUUCCUCAUGUGUCAUUCAGCCACAAGGACGGGAACCACCUUACUCCCCUGGCAUCUCCCUGCCGAGCCCUCAGCACAAUAAAGCCUCGGAGGGCUCGCAUGUCUGAUUCCACGCCACACCUGCUGCCCCACAGGAAGGACGGGGCUCCCCACCGCAGGGAUGAAGGCAAAACCCACCAUGACACUCAGAUUCUGACACGCAUUCUGAUUCUGGCCUGCACACAGCUACCAGUGAAGUUUUUUAGUUAAUGUGCACAUUGUCUGCCCAGGGAGCGGAUACUUUACAGGACCAGCCAACGCCAGCUUCUCCUUACCCACCCCAAUCCCCCCUGGAAAUCUUUCCAACACAGCCUCACCUCACCUCUCCCAGGCUAAACGAAAGAGCCAGGCCACAGAUCUGCACCCUUCACAGAGAUGGUGGAGACUCAACAACACAGAAGACUGCCAUUCGGCAGCAGCGUCUGGACAGUCACAUGUGAACAAGUCAUAUAAUAACAUGUGGAAAUGACUAGCUAUACCUUUAAAGGAUAACAAGCAAGAGAAAAAAAGCAAGGAUUGGUUGACCCGCUAUACUUUUUUCUGUUGAAAAGGUAAUUGUUUUUGACAAUUCAGAUGCUAACAUUUCCUCAAAAGCCCUGAAAAUAAAGACUGGCCCAACAGUCUAGUCUUUAUCUGUAAAAAUUAAUUCCCCCCCUCUAUCUCUUACAAUUAAUAAAUAACAAAAAAAUUUUUUUUUUUUUUUAGGGCCACUCCUGCAGCAUUUGAAACUUCCCAGGCUAGGGGUCCAAUCAGAGCUGCAGUCACUGGCCUAUGUCACAGCCACAGCCACAGCCACACCAGAUCCGACCUGUGUCUGUGACCUAUUCCACGGCUCGCAGCAACGCAUACUUAACCCAGUGAGCAAGGCCAGGGGUCAAACACGAAUCCUCAUGAAUACUACUCAGGUUCUUAACUGGCCGACCCAUGACAGGAACUCCAAAAAGAAACAUUUCUAACAUAUGCCAAGUCUGGCCCAUGCCUAUGUAAUCUGCUAUGAUUACAUAAUCUCCAGAGGUAUGACAAAGAAAUCUUGUUUGUCAACGUUAGACAAGAGCAGUUAGGAAUAAAAACCCAUCUAAAUAGCAGAUUAAGAAGUAAUUGUAUGUACUAAUAUCACAAGACAAAACCAAAGAUGACAAAACAUGAAAUGCUUGGGGAGUUCCCAUCGUGGCACAGCGGGAAUGAAUCCGACUAGGAACCAUGAGCUGGCAGGUUCGAUCUCUGGCCUCGCUCAAUGGGUUAAGUAUCCGGUGUUGCCAUGAGCUGUGGUGUAAGUCGCAGACGCUGCUGGGAUCUGGCAUUGCUGUGGCUCUGGCAUAGGCAGGCAGCAACAGCUCCAAUUCGUCCCCUAGCCUGGGAACCUCCAUGUGCUGAGGGUGUGGCCCUAGAAAGACAAAAAGACCAAAAAAAUUUAAAUAUUAAAAAAAAAAAAAAAAAAGAAAGAAA